CCCUUAGAUGUUCUGGGCAGCACGCGCGCUACAAUGGUCUUCGCAAACGGAUGCAUUCUCGAAGGAGAAUGCCAAUCUUGGAAUCUAUGCCUUGGUCGGGACAGUUGCUUGCAAUUUUUCGACUCGAACCAGGAAUUCCUUGUAAUCGUGAUUCAUCACAUCACGAUGAAUACGUCCCUGCCCUUUGUACACACCGCCCGUCGCACCUACCGAUUGAAUGGUCCGGUGAAAUCUCGGGACGGCGGCUUGGUCGCUUGCGUCCGACUGCUGAAACUUGAUUAAACCAUAUCAUUUAGAGGAAGGUGAAGUCGUAACA
rnacentral:rRNA from 1 species